CCCAUCGAGGAAUCCUCGAUGGGGACCAGAGGCCCGUCGUUAUCUCACCUUUGUAGGAUCGUCCAUAUAACCAAGGGCUACACAAUUUUACCUCUUCUUCGUUCAUAGUUUUCCGGCGAGAUAAAAUCUUCGGACACUAUGAAUCACAAUCACUAUGAACCACACUCGAAACCCCAAACAAAACAAUUUUCCAAUAUGCUUCGCAUCGCCCAAUCGAGACACACCAGAUUCUCUCUGCUUCGUCUUUGUGACACAAAGUUUUUUAUUUGAAUGGCCGAGUUUAUAUAUAAAUAUAAAGAUCCCGACAAGAAGCUGAGACAAUCAAGAUUACAUAGCUUCCUCUACAUCCAAGGUUACCCAAUUUUUUUUUUUUUUUUUUUUUUUUGACCCUGGGAACCCACUUCGUGGUAAACCCCUGGGUCCCCCAAUACCCAGCUAACCGAGGGGAACGGGUAAAAAAAAUGGAUAACCUUGCAAGCACUCGGGCUGGUGGGAUGUAGAGAGUAGGCCCCGGUGGGAAUCGAACCCAUAACCUCUGGAAUGAAGGUAACCCAUUUGAGACAACAAAUACGAGUCGUGAUGGCUUGUGUUGGAAAUGAUCUUUUUUAUACAAAUGCUCUCUUCGAUUUUAUUCUUCUUGUUUUUAGUAUUAUCAUUAUUAUUAACCACAUGUAAUUUGUUCAAGAGGAGGUGGGUUUUUAGACCCGUUUUUCCGAUUUUGCCCUGCAUACCACCCUUACUCCAGCACUGUAAAGAGAAUGCUUAAUGAAACCCUUCCAAAAUAGAGAUUUUUGCGCCGUUUUGUCUCAAUCACCAGUUACAAUGACUGUGGUCAUAUUACUAUUGGCUAACUCGUCGUCCAAUAGCAACGCUUAAGAAGUAGUGUAUACAAAACCCCACAUACCGGCAGCAUUGGUAGAAUACAAAGACUUAAUCACUGAAAUGCUUUUUCUGGUUGGUUCCCCCUCGGGCUCCACUUUCAAAGUUUGAAGAGAUCGUCGAGAAGUUUAUAGAGGCUGUGAAGAUAAAACUACCGUUUGAGAUCGUACUAUUGCAGAAGCUGAGGGUGAUUGUUGGCUGGAUUAUUAUGUCUUCCUUAGGCAAGCAUCAGGUCAUUCUACGUAUUAUUUCAGACAUUGGUUUUUACCUCAAAUAUUGUGAAGUUCUGUGUAAAAUCUUCCCCUCUACCCUUGCUUGGCUCUUACAUGCUUUCUUUUGUGAGGAAAAUGAAGGAAUUGCUCCAACUUCCUCGUCCUAAACCUUCAGUAGGAAGUGUGGUCGUUGGAAAGGUUUCUAGCAGCGUCUCAAAAACAUAUGGUGCUAUGCUUGGUAUAUAUGCUGUGUACGUGCGCUUGAAGGAGACUAGUGCGUCUAUUUUUAUUAUUGGGUUCAUUAUGGAGACUAGUGCGUCUAUUUUUAUUAUUGGGUUCAUUAUUUACAUGUUAUUGAUUUUGAAACUUCUUGAUCUUGUAUGCAUCUGAGGUACUUAUAUUUAGAUGAUACUUUGUUUUUUGAUUUGGAAAAUCAUAUGUGAAAAUCGGAUGGAUUUGUGUGAUGGUUUAAA